rnacentral:rRNA from 1 species
AUUGAACGCUGGCGGCAGGCCUAACACAUGCAAGUCGAGCGGAUGAAGGGAGCUUGCGCCUGGAUGCAGCGGCGGACGGGUGAGUAAUGCCUAGGAAUCUACCUGACCUAUGGGGAUAACGUCCGGAAACGGGCGCGAAUAUCGCAUCCGACAUGAGGUAGAAAGUCGGGGAUCAUCGGACCACACGGGUUCAGCUGAGACUAGGAGGGAUUAGCUAGUUGGUGGGGUAAAGGCCUACCAAGGCGACGAUCCGUAGCUGGCCUGAGAGGAUGAUCAGCCACACUGGAACUGAGACACGGUCCAGACUCCUACGGGAGGCAGCAGUAGGGAAUCUUCGGCAAUGGGCGAAAGCCUGACCCAGCAAUGCCGCGUGUGUGAUGAAGGUCUUCGGAUUGUAAAGCUCUGUUAGUAGGGAAGAAGGGCAGUAUGAUAAUCCCUGCCUGUCUUGACGUUACCAAAACAAUAAGCACCGGCUAACUACGUG